GAUGAGACUAUAUAGUAUCAGCUAGUUGGUAAGGUAAUGGCUUACCAAGGCUAUGACGCUUAACUGGUCUGAGAGGAUGAUCAGUCACACUGGAACUGAGACACGGUCCAGACUCCUACGGGAGGCAGCAGUAGGGAAUAUUGCGCAAUGGGGGAAACCCUGACGCAGCAACGCCGCGUGGAGGAUGACACUUUUCGGAGCGUAAACUCCUUUUCUUAGGGAAGAAUUCUGACGGUACCUAAGGAAUAAGCACCGGCUAACUCCGUGCCAGCAGCCGCGGUAAUACGGAGGGUGCAAGCGUUACUCGGAAUCACUGGGCGUAAAGGGCGCGUAGGCGGAUUAUCAAGUCUCUUGUGAAAUCUAAUGGCUUAACCAUUAAACUGCUUGGGAAACUGAUAGUCUAGAGUGAGGGAGAGGCAGAUGGAAUUGGUGGUGUAGGGGUAAAAUCCGUAGAUAUCACCAAGAAUACCCAUUGCGAAGGCGAUCUGCUGGAACUCAACUGACGCUAAGGCGCGAAAGCGUGGGGAGCAAACAGGAUUAGAUACCCUGGUAGUCCACGCCCUAAACGAUGUACACUAGUUGUUGGGGUGCUAGUCAUCUCAGUAAUGCAGCUAACGCAUUAAGUGUACCGCCUGGGGAGUACGGUCGCAAGAUUAAAACUCAAAGGAAUAGACGGGGACCCGCACAAGCGGUGGAGCAUGUGGUUUAAUUCGAAGAUACGCGAAGAACCUUACCUGGGCUUGAUAUCCUAAGAACCUUAUAGAGAUAUGAGGGUGCUAGCUUGCUAGAACUUAGAGACAGGUGCUGCACGGCUGUCGUCAGCUCGUGUCGUGAGAUGUUGGGUUAAGUCCCGCAACGAGCGCAACCCACGUAUUUAGUUGCUAACGGUUCGGCCGAGCACUCUAAAUAGACUGCCUUCGUAAGGAGGAGGAAGGUGUGGACGACGUCAAGUCAUCAUGGCCCUUAUGCCCAGGGCGACACACGUGCUACAAUGGCAUAUACAAUGAGACGCAAUACCGCGAGGUGGAGCAAAUCUAUAAAAUAUGUCCCAGUUCGGAUUGUUCUCUGCAACUCGAGAGCAUGAAGCCGGAAUCGCUAGUAAUCGUAGAUCAGCCAUGCUACGGUGAAUACGUUCCCGGGUCUUGUACUCACCGCCCGUCACACCAUGGGAGUUGAUUUCACUCGAAGCCGGAAUACUAAACUAGUUACCGUCCACAGUGGAAUCAGCGACUGGGGUGAAGUCGUAACAAGGUAACCGUAGGAGAACCUGCGGUUGGAUCACCUCCUUUCUA
rnacentral:rRNA from 1 species